rnacentral:rRNA from 1 species
GACGAACCGUGCGAACGUUAUUCGGAAUCACUGGGCUUAAAGCGCGUGUAGGCGGGCCGACACGUCCGUGGCUGAAAGCCCCCGGCUCAACCGGGGAAGUGGCCCGGAUACGAUCGGCCUGGAGGGGCAUAGGGGGAGCUGGAACUUCCGGUGGAGCGGUGAAAUGCGUUGAGAUCGGAAGGAACGCCCGCGGCGAAAGCGAGCUCCUGGAUGCCAACUGACGCUGAGACGCGAAAGCCAGGGGAGCGAACGGG